rnacentral:rRNA from 1 species
CCGAAAGUAGUGGCGAGCGAAAUCGGAGUAGCCCAAACCGAAUGUAGUAAUAUAUUCGGGGUAAGGACCGCGAGAUAGCAUCAGGAAGAGUAGUCGAAUUACCUGGAAAGGUAAGACAAAGAGGGUGAAAUCCCCGUAGACGAAACUCAGAGAGAGCGAGCGGGAUCCAGAGUACGUCAGGACACGAGAAAUCCGGACGGAAGAAAUGGGGACCAUCCCAGAAGGCUAAAUACGACCAUGUGACCGAUAGCGAAUAGUACCGUGAGGGAAAGGUGAAAAGAACCCCGGGAGGGGAGUGAAAAAGAACCUGAAACCGUAAGCUUACAAGCAGACAGAGCGCCAUAGGAGUGUGAUGUCGUACUUUUUGUAGAACGGGCCGGCGAGUUACGAUGUGAUGCGAGGUUAAGUGUCAAAGACACGGAGCCGAAGCGAAAGCGAAUCUGAAGAGGGUGAGAAGUAUCAUGUCGUAGACCCGAAACCGAAUGACCUAACCAUGAGCAGGUUGAAGCAAUGGUAAAACGUUGUGGAGGACCGAACCACACGCCUGUUGAAAUAGUCGGUGAUGACUUGUGGUUAGCGGAGAAAUUCCAAACGAAUUCGGAUAUAGCUGGUUCUCCUCGAAAUAGCUUUAGGGCUAGCCUCGCAUAUAAUCCUUGUCGGUAGAGCACUAAAUGGCCUAGGGGGCUUCACAGCCUACCGAAGCUUAUUAAACUCCGAAUGGCAAGGAAUUGAGUGCGGGAGUCAGACAGCGACAGCUAAGUGCCGUUGUCAAAAGGGAAACAGCCCAGAUCUACAGCUAAGGUCCCAAAGUCAGGUUAAGUGGAAAAGGAUGUGACAAUGCAUAGACAACCAGGAUGUUGGCUCAGAAGCAGCCACGCAUUAAAAGAGUGCGUAAUAGCUCACUGGUCGAGUGGUGUUGCGCCGAAAAUUAACGGGGCUCAAACCUGACACCGAAGCUUAGGAAUACGCGAAGCGUAUUGGUAGAGGAGCAAUGUAUAUGCGCAGAAGCCGUACCGGAAGGAGCGGUGGAGUGUAUAGAAGAGAGAAUGCCGGCAUAAGUAGCGAGAGCGGAGCGAGAAACUCCGCCGUCGAAAGUCUGAGGUUUUCCGGGGAAGGUUCGUCCGCCCGGAGUAAGUCGGGACCUAAGCGGAGGCCGAAAGGCGUACGUGAUGGACAACAGGUUGAUAAUCCUGUACUACCGAGAGAGCUAAUGAAGCAGUGACACGGAAAGAUAGAAGAAGCGCGCAGAUGGAAAAGCGCGUCCAAGCAGUGAGGGAGGCUUGUAGUAAAGUACGCAAGUCAUAAUCCUGGGCUGUGACGGGGAGUGGACCAAGGAAACGAAGUCUUUGAAUCUACGCCGGCGAGAAAAGCUGCUAAAUGUUUCGAGGUACCCGUACCGCAAACCGACACAGGUAGACGAGAAGAAAAUUCUAAGACGAACGGGAGAACCCUUGUUAAGGAACUCGGCAAAAUGACCCCGUAACUUCGGGAGAAGGGGAGCCACAGAGAUGUGGCCGCAGUGAAGAGGCCCAAGCGACUGUUUAUCAAAAACACAGGUUUCUGCUAAGGCGUAAGCCAAGGUAUAGGAGCUGACUCCUGCCCAGUGCCGGAAGGUCAAGGGGAUCCGUCAGCGCAAGCGAAGCGGUGAACUUAAGCCCCGGUGAACGGCGGCCGUAACUAUAACGGUCCUAAGGUAGCGAAAUUCCUUGUCGGGUAAGUUCCGACCCGCACGAAUGGAGUAACGAUUUGGGCACUGUCUCAACAGGGGGCCCGGCGAAAUUGUAGUAUACGUGAAGAUGCGUAUUAACCCGCGACCGGACGGAAAGACCCCGUAGAGCUUUACUGUAACUUGAUAUUGAAUCUCGGCAAUUGAUGCACAGAAUAGGUGGGAGACGAAGAAGCAUGUGUUUCGGCAUGUGUGGAGUCAACUUUGGGAUACCACUCUUCGAUUGCUGCGAUUCUAACCGGGACCGUUGAAGCACGGCUCGGGACAUUGUCAGGUGGGCAGUUUGACUGGGGCGGUCGCCUCCUAAAGUGUAACGGAGGCGCCCAAAGGUUCCCUCAGAAUGGUUGGAAAUCAUUCGGCGAGUGUAAAGGCAAAAGGGAGCUUAACUGUGAGACAGACAUGUCGAACAGAUGCGAAAGCAGGGCUUAGUGAUCAGGUGGUAUGAGAAUGGAAUUGCCAUCGCUUAACGGAUAAAAGUUACCUCGGGGAUAACA